CCUACGGGGAGCAGCAGUGAGGAAUAUUGGUCAAUGGACGAGAGUCUGAACCAGCCAAGUAGCGUGAAGGAUGACUGCCCUAUGGGUUGUAAACUUCUUUUAUAUGGGAAUAAAAUGUUCCACGUGUGGGAUUUUGUAUGUACCAUAUGAAUAAGGAUCGGCUAACUCCGUGCCAGCAGCCGCGGUAAUACGGAGGAUCCGAGCGUUAUCCGGAUUUAUUGGGUUUAAAGGGAGCGUAGGUGGAUUGUUAAGUCAGUUGUGAAAGUUUGCGGCUCAACCGUAAAAUUGCAGUUGAAACUGGCAGUCUUGAGUACAGGAGAGGUGGGCGGAAUGCGUGGUGUAGCGGUGAAAUGCUUAGAUAUCACGAAGAACUCCGAUUGCGAAGGCAGUUCACUGGACUGCAACUGACACUGAGGCUCGAAAGUGUGGGUAUCAAACAGGAUUAGAUACCCCAGUAGUC
rnacentral:rRNA from 1 species